GACGUAGGGUGCAAGCGUUGUCCGGAUUUAUUGGGCGUAAAGAGCUCGUAGGCGGUCAGUCGCGUCUGCUGUGAAAACCCGGGGCUCAACCCCGGGCCUGCAGUCGAUACGGGCAGACUAGAGUGCGGUAGGGGAGACUGGAAUUCCUGGUGUAGCGGUGAAAUGCGCAGAUAUCAGGAGGAACACCGGUGGCGAAGGCGGGUCUCUGGGCAACAACUGACGCUGAGGAGCGAAAGCGUGGGGAGCGAACAGG
rnacentral:rRNA from 1 species